UACAGAGGUCCCGAGCGUUGUUCGGAUUCAUUGGGCGUAAAGGGUGCGUAGGUGGCGCCGUAAGUGGGGUGUGAAAUCCCGGGGCUUAACCCCGGGACUGCAUUCCAUACUGCGGUGCUUGAGGACUGGAGAGGAGACUGGAAUUUACGGUGUAGCAGUGAAAUGCGUAGAUAUCGUAAGGAAGACCAGUGGCGAAGGCGGGUCUCUGGACAGUUCCUGACGCUGAGGCACGAAGGCCAGGGGAGCAAACGGG
rnacentral:rRNA from 1 species